rnacentral:rRNA from 1 species
CAGCCGCCGCGGUAAUACAUAGGUCCCGAGCGUUGUCCGGAUUUAUUGGGCGUAAAGCGAGCGCAGGCGGUUAGAUAAGUCUGAAGUUAAAGGCUGUGGCUUAACCAUAGUACGCUUUGGAAACUGUCUAACUUGAGUGCAAGAGGGGAGAGUGGAAUUCCAUGUGUAGCGGUGAAAUGCGUAGAUAUAUGGAGGAACACCGGUGGCGAAAGCGGCUCUCUGGCUUGUAACUGACGCUGAGGCUCGAAAGCGUGGGGAGCAAACAGGAUUAGAUACCCCUGUAGUCCCUGUCUCUUAUACC